rnacentral:rRNA from 1 species
UACGAAGGUGGCAAGCGUUGUUCGGAUUUACUGGGCGUACAGGGAGCGUAGGCGGUUGGAUAAGCCCUCCGUGAAAUCUCCAGGCUUAACCUGGAAAGUGCAGAGGGGACUGUUCAGCUAGAGGAUGGGAGAGGAGCGCGGAAUUCCCGGUGUAGCGGUGAAAUGCGUAGAGAUCGGGAGGAAGGCCGGUGGCGAAGGCGGUUCUCUGGGCAUUACCUGCGCUGAGGAGCGAAAGUGUGGGGAGCGAACAGG